UGCGUAGGUGGUUGGUUAAGUUUGAGGUGAAAGCUCCGAGCUCAACUCGGAAAAUGCCUUGAAGACUAUCUGGCUAGAGGAUUGGAGGGGGAGAUUGGAAUUCUCGGUGUAGCAGUGAAAUGCGUAGAUAUCGAGAGGAACACCAGUGGCGAAGGCGAAUCUCUGGACAAUUCCUGACACUGAGGCACGAAAGCCAAGGGAGCGAAACG
rnacentral:rRNA from 1 species